rnacentral:lncRNA from 1 species
UGACAGUAUUAUGGCACAACCAGAGGACUAAUUUGUGAAGAAAUAAUGCGAGGAAAUGAAGAUAUGAAUCACGAGUGGUAACGAUGAGAAGAAUCCACUUGAGGGAACUUGUUUGGAGAAUUUUGGGAUAAUUUUCUGCUGGGUUGAUAGAUAAGGGGAAGAAAGAGGAUACAGGGUUACAUUACAGAUAAAAUGAAGAAACAUUGAGAUCAAUUAGAAAAUAAGGAAGUCUGCAAAGGCCCCACUGAAUGCUGUGUAAUACAAUCAACUGAGAGCAGCACUGACAGAACAUUAGAAGAUAUAUGGAUUUGACCGAGUCAAGAAAUAACUUUCCCUCUGUAAAUACUUGAGGAUAGCUUUUCAAAUCCUUCCUUUCCAAGAUAUGUGAUUGAAUAAAGAAGAUUAUAUCUCAAAGGACAAUACAAUGAAAGAAAUGUGACUGAUGGCCUAAGAAUAUAAGGAAGAGUUGGGGUAACAUGAUAAAUCUUUUCAUUUAAUCUUGUACCUAAUAUGGGACGCUGGCAGUGGCAGAGAGCCAGACCGACCUUCUAAAACCAAGACUACAGACCACACACAUAGCCUUGAAGAUCCGUGAACUUCUUUAUAAAGGUGCUUUAUGUCUG